AUUGAACGCUGGCGGCAUGCCUUACACAUGCAAGUCGAACGGCAGCGGGGACUUCGGUCCGCCGGCGAGUGGCGAACGGGUGAGUAAUGUAUCGGAACGUACCAUUCAGUGGGGGAUAACUAUCCGAAAGGAUAGCUAAUACCGCAUAUUCUGUGAGCAGGAAAGCAGGGGAUCGCAAGACCUUGCGCUGAUUGAGCGGCCGAUAUCAGAUUAGCUAGUUGGUGAGGUAACGGCUCACCAAGGCUACGAUCUGUAGCGGGUCUGAGAGGAUGAUCCGCCACACUGGGACUGAGACACGGCCCAGACUCCUACGGGAGGCAGCAGUGGGGAAUUUUGGACAAUGGGCGCAAGCCUGAUCCAGCCAUGCCGCGUGAGUGAAGAAGGCCUUCGGGUUGUAAAGCUCUUUCGGCCGGGAAGAAAUCGCAUCAGCUAAUACCUGGUGUGGAUGACGGUACCGGAAUAAGAAGCACCGGCUAACUACGUGCCAGCCGCCGCGGUAA
rnacentral:rRNA from 1 species